GAUGAACGCUAGCUACAGGCUUAACACAUGCAAGUCGAGGGGAAACGGCAUCGAAAGCUUGCUUUUGAUGGGCGUCGACCGGCGCACGGGUGAGUAACGCGUAUCCAACCUGCCCAUCACUUGGGAAUAACCUUGCGAAAGUAAGACUAAUGCCCAAUGACAUCCCACGAAGGCAUCCGAAUGGGAUUAAAGAUUUAUCGGUGAUGGAUGGGGAUGCGUCUGAUUAGCUUGUUGGCGGGGUGACGGCCCACCAAGGCAACGAUCAGUAGGGGUUCUGAGAGGAAGGGCCCCCACAUUGGAACUGAGACACGGUCCAAACUCCUACGGGAGGCAGCAGUGAGGAAUAUUGGUCAAUGGGCGAGAGCCUGAACCAGCCAAGUAGCGUGCAGGAUGACGGCCCUAUGGGUUGUAAACUGCUUUUAUAAGGGAAUAAAGUGGGUCACGUGUGACUUUUUGCAUGUACCUUAUGAAUAAGGACCGGCUAAUUCCGUG
rnacentral:rRNA from 1 species